UUCUUCUUUCCCCCAGUUCCUUCCCUCAGCAAGAUUCAGACUUGAGGAAACACCAGCUCAGAUUCUGUCAGAUGCUUUGACCUGUGCCUAUGAUUUGUUCUGUUGUCUAUUCUUGUAAAGCUUUGCUCCCUGCAUUAACCUUAACCCGUAUGGUCCACUGCAAGUACAGCCUCAUCCAGGCAGCUGGUCAUGAUUUACCCUAGCCAAAUUGUUCGUCUCAACGGCCAGUAUAACAGAAGACUAGAAAGAUGCCUGAGCCCACUGACACGCACCCCAGAUGGCAUGGCACGGCCGUGGCUUGCUGAGGGACUGCGGCUACAGAAGGAACAGAAGUCUUCAGAGACAUGAAGAGACAGACUGGGAGACUCAGCGCGGACAGAGAGGAAGAGCUGCACACUGCAGCGGGCAGCACGCAAACGCAGACACUGGUCAAAUCACAAGAGUCAUUAUUUAUAACAAAUAAUAAAAUUAUUAGUUGCUGA